rnacentral:rRNA from 1 species
UGCCCUAGUAACGGCGAGUGAAGCGGCAACAGCUCAAAUUUGAAAUCUGGCUCUCGGGCCCGAGUUGUAAUUUGUAGAGGAUACUUUUGAUGCGGUGCCUUCCGAGUUCCCUGGAACGGGACGCCAUAGAGGGUGAGAGCCCCGUCUGGUUGGAUGCCAAAUCUCUGUAAAGUUCCUUCAACGAGUCGAGUAGUUUGGGAAUGCUGCUCUAAAUGGGAGGUAUAUGUCUUCUAAAGCUAAAUACCGGCCAGAGACCGAUAGCGCACAAGUAGAGUGAUCGAAAGAUGAAAAGCACUUUGAAAAGAGAGUUAAAAAGUACGUGAAAUUGUUGAAAGGGAAGCGUUUAUGACCAGACUUGGGCUUGGUUAAUCAUCUGGGGUUCUCCCCAGUGCACUUUUCCAGUCCAGGCCAGCAUCAGUUUUCCCCGGGGGAUAAAGGCGGCGGGAAUGUGGCUCUCUUCGGGGAGUGUUAUAGCCCACCGUGUAAUACCCUGGGGGGGACUGAGGUUCGCGCAUCUGCAAGGAUGCUGGCGUAAUGGUCAUCAACGA